GACGAACGCUGGCGGCGUGCUUAACACAUGCAAGUCGAACGGAAAGGCCCUGCUUUUGUGCGGUUCUCGAGUGGCGGUCGGGUGAGUAACACGUGAGUAACCUGCCCUUGACUUUGGGGUAACUUCAGGAAGCUGGAGCUAAUACCAGAUCGGAGAUCAUGCAGCAGGGUGGGCGUUGGAACUUUUCGGCGGUUAUGGAUGGACUCGCGGCUUAUCAGCUAGCUGGUGGGGUAGUGGCUUACCAAGGCAGGGCCGGGUAGCCGGCCGGAGAGGGUGGACGGGCACAGUGGUACUAAGAUACGCCCCAGACGCCUACGGUAGGCAGCAGGGGGAAGUAUGGCACAAUGAUCGGAAGCGGGUGGCAGCAACGCCGCGGUCGUGAUGACGUCCUUCGGGUAGUAAACCGCUUUCGCCUGUGACGAAGCGUUAGUGACGGUAAUGGAUAAAGAAGCACCGGCUAACUACGUG
rnacentral:rRNA from 1 species